CCACACACACACACACACACACACACACGAGAGCAAAGUCAACUUCCAUUAUUUUGAAGCACAUCCAAGACAUCACAUCACAUUAUUUAUCACAUUAUUUAUUAAGUUUCUUCAGUCACAGUCCAUCUCACAGAAAGAAAUCCCCCAUGAGAAACUUUUAGGACAUAGCUUUUAUGUUAAUUACUUAAUUUCUGCACUAGCCAUCCUUGCCUGCCUUCUAAUUUUCUGCACUAGCUAUCCUUACCUUCCUUCUAAUUUUCUAACCUGCCAAGGAUUCUGCUGCCUCAAGGUAUUUGUUUCUUUCUGCCUGGAUUGCUCUUUCGCAGAUACUUACAUGUCUCAUUCUUUUUCACCCAGGUGAAAUAAACAGCGUUGUUGCUCACACAAAGCCUGUUUGGUAGUCUCUUCACAUGGACGCGUGUGACAUUUGGUGCUGAAGACCCGGGACAGGAGGACUCCUUCAGGAGACGGGUCCCCUGUCCUUGCCCUCACUCCGUGAGGAGAUCCACCUACGACCUCGGGUCCUCAGACCAACCAGCCCAAGGAACAUCUCAUGAAUUUCAAAUCGGAUUCCCAACUAUAUGAAGACACCCUAGCUGGACGAUCAGUUCUUAUUAAGAACCUGACCCCUCAAACUCUACAACCUCGAUGGACUGGACCCUACUUAGUCAUCUAUAGUACCCCAACUGCCGUCCGCCUGCAGGAUCCUCCCCACUGGGUUCACCGUUCCAGAAUAAAGCUGUGCCCAUCGGACAACC
rnacentral:lncRNA from 10 species